GUGGGCUACGGAGACAUGAAGCCCAUCACCGUAGGUGGGAAGAUAGUGGGCUCCCUCUGCGCGAUUGCGGGUGUGUUAACCAUCGCGCUCCCGGUGCCUGUCAUAGUGUCCAAC
rfam:Oryzias latipes DNA, chromosome3, strain: Hd-rR.